ACAUGACAAAGAACAGCCACACCUACAGUAUACCCAUACUGCUGUGCUCCUUUCAACACCUCAUUCUCCUGUUGUUCAGUGUGUUUUCUUGCUAGAGGGCCGUGUCAGUAGCACAGAAUAUACAUUUGCUGAACAUUGCCCCUAUGUGAGUGAACCCUCAACAAGUAAAAUACGCCCUCUUCAAGUGAAUAUUACAGGCAAAAGGAAAUCUGAUGAGGCCCAUGCAAACAAACAAACAAAGAAACAACAACGUGUUGCUGCGUCCAGAAUAACUGAAACAUUUGGUAGGUGGAUGAUGGUGUUUAUAUGGACCACAAUCAUUUUAAGAAACACUCUUUUAAUUGGAAACCAUUUAACAUGAUGUAUUGUAGACAUUCCUAAUUGAGAAUCGUAAAUAUGUACAUGACUGUUCUCUGUUCUGUUUGCAUGUUGCACAGUAGUGUCACGUCCUGACCAGUAUAGGGGUUAUUUGUUAUUGUAGUUUGGUCAGGACGUGGCAGGGGGUGUUUGUUUUAUGUGGUUCAGGGUGUGUUUUGUGUAUGUGUUUAGGUAGAGGGGUAUUUGAUUUAUUAGUCCGGGGUUUGUUAGUCAUUGUUCUAUGUUAGUGUAAUUCUAUGUUCUUUCUAGUCGUUUUAGAUCUAUGUUUAGUUAAUUGGGGUUGGACCUUCAAUUGGAGGCAGCUGGUUAUCGUUGCCUCUGAUUGAAGGUCCUAUAAUUAGGAGUUUGUUUGUUUUGGGGAU
rnacentral:lncRNA from 1 species